AGCAGCCGCGGUAAUUCCAGCUCCAAUAGCGUAUAUUAAAGUUGUUGCAGUUAAAAAGCUCGUAGUUGAAUUUCGAGACCGGUUUACUGGUCGUGCUUUUGUACGUACUGGUAUUAUUGGUUUCUCCUUUCUGACGAACUAUAAUGCCAUUAAUUUGGUGUUAUAGGGAAUCAGGACUGUUACUUUGAAAAAAUUUAGAGUGUUUAAAGCAGGCUCGCGCUUGAAUACAUUAGCAUGGAAUAACGGAAUAGGACGUUUGAUUCUAUUUUGUUGGUUUCUAGGAUCGACGUAAUGAUUAAUAGGGAUAGUUGGGGGCAUUAGUAUUCAAUUGUCAGAGGUGAAAUUCUUGGAUUUAUUGAAGACUAACUACUGCGAAAGCAUUUGCCAAGGAUGUUUUCAUUAAUCAAGAACGAAAGUUAGGGGAUCGAAGACGAUCAGAUACCGUCGUAGUCUUAACCAUAAACUAUGCCGACUAGGGAUCGGAUGAUGUUAAUUUUUUAAUGACUCAUUCGGCGCCUUA
rnacentral:misc_RNA from 1 species